rnacentral:rRNA from 1 species
GACGAACGCUGGCGGCGUGCUUAACACAUGCAAGUCGAGCGAAGUGGCGAACGGGUGAGUAACGCGUAAUCAACCUGCCCUUCAGAGGGGGACCACAGUUGGAAACGACUGCUAAUACCGCAUACUGAAGGAGGGGAUUGCGUCUGAUUCGCUAGUUGGGGGGGUAACGGCCCACCAGGGCGAUGAUCAGUAGCCGGUCUGGGAGGAGGAACGGGCAAAUUGGGACUGAGACACGGCCCAGACCCCUACGGGAGGCAGGAGUGGGGAAUCUUCCGAAAUGGACGAAAGUCUGACGGAGCAACGCCGCGUGAGGGAUGACGGCCUUCGGGUUGUAAAGCUCUGUUAAGCGGGACGCGGUACCGGAAUAGAAAGCCACGGCUAACUACGUGCCAGCAGCCGCGGUAAUAC